UGCCAGCAGCCGCGGUAAUACGGAGGGUGCAAGCGUUAAUCGGAAUUACUGGGCGUAAAGCGCGCGUAGGUGGUUCAGUCAGUCAGAUGUGAAAGCCCUGGGCUCAACCUGGGAACUGCAUCUGAUACUGCUGAACUCGAGUACGGUAGAGGGUAGUGGAAUUUCCUGUGUAGCGGUGAAAUGCGUAGAUAUAGGAAGGAACACCAGUGGCGAAGGCGACUACCUGGACCGAUACUGACACUGAGGUACGAAAGCCAGGGGAGCGAACGGGAUUAGAUA
rnacentral:rRNA from 1 species